AUUCAUCAUUAAUUUUUUAUGCUUUGAAUAUCACAGAAGAUCAGGCCUCACACUAUAGCUUCAAUGAAUUUUUGAACAGUAGCAACCUGAGUAGUCCCACUUGUAUGCAAAGGUUAUUGAAACUAUGCCAAGCUAUUCACUUUAGAAUGUCAAGGGAUUUAACAUAUUUCAGAUAUAUCCUUAUAUUAACAAUGUGUGAUUAAUGUCAGUUUGAAGAAGGAUCUUGACCCAAAAUCUUGCAUAUCCAUUCCCUCUGCAGACGCUGCUUGACCCACCGAGUUACUCCAGCACUUUAUAUUUUCCUCACAAUUGAAGCAUCUGCAGUUCCUUGUAUGUACUGCAAAAGUGGGAUGGCAUAGAACUAGACUGAACAGGCGACUAAACUUUGUGCCAACAUGAAAAACUAUCUUCAAUCCUGUCUCUCCACACUGGGAACAAUAGCGCAUAAUUGAAUAAUAUAAGAGCAAUUGCAUGAAGUCCAUUUCCUUGCCAACGCACAGCACGAUUAUUGCCUCCUGAAGUGUGUCCCAACAGAUAUGAAUCCACACCCUUGGGGUAAAAAAAAAAAUAUUUAUCCGCAUCAAUUUGAAAGCUACCAGAAGCUGCUCGGGACCCCGCAAAGUGCCACAAUUCACAAAUGGAUGGGAGAAGAAGGUGGAUAAAAUGAGUUUAUCAUGGCACCGUGUUCAACACAGACAUUGUGGGCUGAAAUAGUAAGAAAUUAACUUGUUAUAGCUUCAUCAGGUUAAUUCAUUAAAUAAAUAAAAACCUGCAUAAAUAAUGGAAAGAAUUAUCAUUAAAAAUGUAAAAAUAAUUGCAGUUAUGAAUUAUGAUUUUCCAAUAUUAAGUGUGAUCGCCUUUGCCUGAAAGGAUUAGAGCAGUGUCGUUGAGGGCUUCCUAAAUCAGUGAAUAGAAAGUCUGAUGAGAGAACGGGGCAAUUCUUUGGGAAUAUAGCUGGGGAAGUAUUAGUGGAGCACCAUUAUGAUAGUGACCAUAAAUUAGGGCCUCUGAUUGAAAUGUUUAAAUCUUUUCUGACCACGGGGGAAAUGCCAAAUUGCAGGGAUUGGCCAGUGAGUUGAACAUCAGUGGCAAUAAAACUGUGGGAAAAGGUUCUGAGGGACAGGAUUAAUCUGAUUUGGAGAGACAGGGAUUAACAAAAGAGAAUCAGCAUGGCUUUGCAAAUGGGAGGUCCUGUUUGACUAGUUUGAUUGAUUUUUUGAAAGAGAGACUUACGUGUGUCAAUGAGGGUGGCGUGGGAGACUGAUCCUAGAGAUAAGAGACCAUGGGAUUCAGCAAAUUUAUCAAAUUACAUCUGAAAUUGCCUUGGUGACAGGAAGCAGAGGGCAAUGUCGCAGGGGGAUCGGAGUCCUGUCGUCAGUGGUGUAGUGCUGUGAUUUGUGCUGUUUGUUAUCUGCAGUGAUGAUGUGGAUGUGAAUGCAGGAGCUAUGGUUGGAAAGACUGCAGCUGACAUGAAAAUUGAUGGUGUUGUUGAUAGUGAGGAGGAUACACCAAGGCAAUUUAUACUAGCCAAUUAAUCCAGCAAACAGCGUAUCUUUUAAUGCUGGAGGAAAUCACACCACCCGAGAAUAGUCCAUACAGUGAAAAUAUGUAAACCCACGCGGACAGCACCAAAGGUCAGAAUCAAGCCGAGGCCCCUUGAACGAAGCACAUUUCCUCCAUGCAGCUGAUGCCAUCCAAUUCUAAGGACCAAGUGCUGGUAAACAGGAUCAGUGUAGAUAGGUCACAACAUGCUGGAGUAACUCAGGGGGUCAGGCAGUAUCUCUGGAAAACAUGGAUAGGUGAUGUUCUAGGUCAGGACCCUUCUUCAGACCAUCAGUUUCAUUGCUUUACUGUUCUCUUGUAAUACACCUUGGCAUUAGUUUAGUUUAGUUUGGAUACACAGCACGGAAACAGACCCCUCAGCUGACAGAGUCCACACUGACCAGUCAUCACUGCACAUUAACACUAUCCCACACACACUUGGGACAAUUCACGAUUUUACCGAGCCAAUUAACCUACAAACCUGCACGUCUUUGGGAGAAAACUGGAGCACCCGGGGAAAUCCCACACAGGUCACAGGGAGAACGUACAAACUGCAAACAAACAGCACCCAUAGUCAGGAUUGAACCUGGGUUUCUGGCGCUUUAAGGCAGCAACUCUACUGCUGUGCCACCAUGCCACCUCUGAUGCAAGGUUAUCAUAUGCAUUCUGAUCAUCCCAAAGUGUAUUCCUCCAAAGAAGAUCAGGUGGAAAGCCCUUUAAUAUUGCAGUUAAGAAAUAAAUAAAACAAAAGCAAUUUAUUGAAGAGAGUAGUGGAUGAUUAUUUAGAUAAGGCCAAAUGGGCACAUUGGAAUAUAUUGUAAAUUUGCAUCCUUUUCUCUACAAAGUUUGAGAGUUCAAAUCAGCCCAGCAGUCCAGCCACAGCAAACUUUAAGGGCCUGUCCCACUUGGUGAUUUUAUCGGCGACUGCUGGCGUCAUUGACUGAUGUAUCAGGGUCGCCGAAAGAUUUUGAAUAUUUCAAAAUCCAGCGGUGACAAAAAAAAUGUUGCGAUACUUGAGGAAACACCGCGCGUCAAUACGUCAUCACGCCACGACUUUUUCGGUGAGCUGAUACAUCAGUCAAUGAUGCCGGCAGUCGCCGAAAAAAUCGGCAAGUGGGACAGGCCCUUUACACCUCAUGCUGCCUCAGCAAGGCCAACAGCAUAAUCAAGGCCAAGCCACUCCAUCUUCUCCUCUCUCCCAUUAAGUAAAAGGUAUAGAAGUGUGAAAUUGCACACCUCCAGAUUCAGACGCAGUUUCUUCCCAGAUGUUCCCAGGCAACUGAACUGUCCUACCACAACCAGAGAGCAGUCUUGAACUCCUAUCUACCAUCAUCUUCUAUAUCUCUCGUUUCCUUUAUCCCUAAUCAGU